rnacentral:lncRNA from 1 species
GUUGUUGCCAAACGAUGCGGGACGUACUCCCAAUACUGAUUCUGGUUCCACUCUUAACUCCCAGUCCACCCCUAAGUGUUGAGGGAGAGGAGAAAGCAAAUGGAAUUUCCCCAUGGCCUUCCUGAGUUGAGAAACAUGAAAAACAGGAUGAAUUUGGGACUCUGGAAGAAGUUUCAAUUUGUAAGCCACUUGACCCACUUUAGCUAGUACUUCGAAGGGCCCAUAGUACCAAGGGGAGAGUUUCUCAUUGGAACGGUGUGCCAAAGAUUUAAGGCGGUAUGGUCGCAUCUUUAAGUAGACCAAUUCCCCAAUAUCAAAAGCUUUCGUCUUUUGUUGAGCACUAUGCAGAUGCAUUUUUAAUUCCUCUAGUAACUUGUCACAUUCCAGCAGCUGGUGGUCAAGUGAAGACACUGCUAUUGACCCUUUUUCAAAGCGGAUGAUAGGGGGUGGGUCCCGUCCAUACAGGAUACGGAAUGGAGUUAACUGUGCAGACACGUGAUAAGAAGUGUUAUAAGAUAAUUCAGCCCAGGGUAGAAAGCGAAACUCGUCUUUAGGCCUGCCUGAAGUGAAGCAACGAAGAUAAGUCUCAAUACUCCUAUUAAGCACCUCUGUCUAGCCAUCGGUAUGUGGCUGGUAGGCUGAGCUAAGCCUCAAUUUAGUACCUUGCAAUCGAAAGAGUUCACUCCAAAAUUUGCCAACACUUUGUCACGAUAAGAGAUUAUUGACUGCAGCAUGCCAUGCAACCGAACUAUCUCCUUAAUGAAUAUUGUCGCCACAGAUGGAGCUGAAAAAUGAUGUUUAAGGCCCACAAAGUGUCCAUACUUAAGCGAUCCACAACGACCAAAAUUGAGUCAAACCCAUCUGACUUUGGUAACCCUAAAGUCUAUGGAGAUAUCAUCCUAGACUUUCUCUGGUACUAGUAACGGUUGAAACAGUCCUGCCGGAGUGAGGGUCGAGUACUUGUUCUGCUGAAACGUUGCACAGGCCGCCACAUAAUUUCGAAUAUCGUUCUUCAUGCCUUUCCAAUAAAACGUGGCAGCAAUCCUUUUGUAUGUUUUAAGGAAUCCCGCAUGGCCACCGAGUUUGCUGUUGUGUCCUUCUUGCAAUGCCAACAUUACAAAUGGAGAACCCUUGGGUAAGGUGAGCCGGUCACGAUAUAACAGAGCACCCUGAACUAACACAAACCUCGGGUGUGACGUUGGGUUAGCUUGUAGUGCUGUGUGGAUCUGGCCCAAUUUUGAGUCCUCUUUCACUGCCUUUUCUAACUCAGCUUGCUGUAAAACAAAUGGCAUACUAAGUGCAAUCCCUGCCGUAGCCAAUUCAAUUCGGGAUAAGGCGUCGGCCGCCUUAUUUUCCAAUCUCGACUUGUACUCGAUGUCAAAGUCAUACCCCAAUAACUUGGUCAGCCACUUCUGAUAUACCGAACUUACCAUACACUGCUCAAGAAAGAAUUUGAGACCCUUCUGAUCAGUUCAGACUAUGAAAUGCCUCGAAAUUAGAUAGUGCCUCGACUUUUGAAUGGCAAAUACAACUGCCAUCAACUCUCUCUCAUAAAUAGACUUGUUCCGAGACCGAGGAAGAACUUAGCUAAAGUAAGCAAUAGGCCUCCGGUGUUGCAUCAAAACUGUCCCCAAGCCAUGACCAGACGCAUCAGUUUCAAUCACGAAUGGCUUAGAAAAAUCUGAAAGUUCUAAUACAGGAACCGAAGCCAUAGCCUUUUUUAGGCUUACAAAAGCAGCUUCCACCUCGUAACUCCACACAAAAUUAUCUUUUUUCAGUUGUUGCAUAAGUGGCCAUGCUAUCCUUUCAUACCCCUCUACAAACCUCCGAUAGUAUCCUGUUAGACCAAGGAACCCCCGUAGCUCCUUAAGCGAUUUAGGUCGUGGCCAUGCUUUCAUGGCCUCCACUUUAGACAUAUCUGCGGCUACUCCUUUUUCUGAGAUCAUAUGGCCAAGGUACUCCGGCUCUUUUUGGCCAAACAAGCACUUCUUGUUAGCAAUAAGAUGGUUAUCCACUAACUAAUGCAAUACCCAUCUCAAAUGCCCCCGAUGCUCUUCCACCGUUUGGCUAUAGACUAAAAUGUCAUCGAAAAAGACCAAUACAAAUCUCUGUAGUUGUUUCCUGAAGAUGUCGUUCAUUAGUAACUGGAAGGUUGCAGGUGCAUUUUUCAGGCCGAACGACAUGACUAGAAAUUCAUAGUGGCCCUCGUGAGUGCAGAAUGCAGUUUUAGGGAUGUCCCCUGUCUUCACUCAGAUUUGAUGAUACCCAAAGUUCAAGUCAAUUUUUGAAAAAAUGGUCGAACCAUGUAACUCAUCUAAGAGCUCAUCAAAAUUGUAGUUUUAUUUACUGCCUGAUAGUCCACACAAAACUAAGAAUGGCAAUAAAACCCACCCCGCCUCGCCCUGAACCGGUUGGCGGGGUGGGGUGCCCCGUCGUGGGGCGCAACGGGGCCCACCCCGUGAAGGAAAAAAAUUAAAAAUAAUUUUAUUUCUAAACAAUUCACCCGUUAAAAACUAAUUUUGAAUUUGUAUUUUAUUCUCUAAUAAUAACAUAAUUCAAAACUUUGAAAAUGUAAAAAAUUAAAAAUUAAAAAAAAAUUAACAGGACAAAAAAUUGCCCUGUCCCAGCCCCGACCCACCUUGCCUCGUUUAAGAAGGUGCGGGGUGAGGUUUGGGGGAAACGGGGCGGGGUGGGCGCCCCUAACCCGCCCCGUUGCCAU